rnacentral:rRNA from 1 species
UACGUAGGUGACAAGCGUUAUCCGGAAUUACUGGGCGUAAAGCGCACGCAGGCGGCGCGGUAAGUCUGAUGUGAAAUCUCCCGGCUUAACUGGGAGGGGUCAUUGGAAACUGCCGAGCUUGAGGCGAUGAGAGGGGUGUAGAAUUCCCGGUGUAGUGGUGGAAUGCGUAGAUAUCGGGAGGAAUACCAGUGGCGAAAGCGGCACCCUGGCAUUAGCCUGACGCUCAUGUGCGAAGGCGUGGGGAGCGAACGGGG